ensembl:lncRNA
GGAAAAAAAAGAGAAGCAGAAAGGGGCCUACAGAUAGGACCUGGUCCUGUGAAGGCAUGCCAUGCAUUGAGUGAUUGCAUAUUCUCAUUUGAUGAGCACAAUGAGAAUUCUUUUUCUGAUGCCAACAGCGUGCGUUUCAGUGAGCCUUUGCCUCUAAAAGUCCUUGAGUAGCUGCUGCAUUCACAAGCUAAAGAAUGGGGAUGGCUUGUUCCUACUGCUCAGUAAUGACUAUGCCAAACCAGACCCUGCUUUGUGAAACCACAGUGAGUGCAACUUGUCUGUGCUAAAGGCAACCUUGGCAAACAUCUCCUUAUCAGCUGGAGAAAUCCUUGAACAACCAAAUUACAGCCUGAUUUCACAUAAUUGUUGUUAGUCAGGAAAGAUUCGUAAGCAUAUGUGUAACUUAGCAUGAACUGUGUUACUUACUUACUUACAAUGAUUUAAGUGCUUUCCAGAAUGAGAAAAAAAAGGGGGGGGGGGGGGGGGGGGGGGGGGGGGGGCAAGGAAAGGAGAAGAAAAGGGAAAGAAAGAGAAGGAGAAGGAGAAAGAAGGAACAAAGAAAGAGAGGAGAAAGCAAGACCAGAAAAAUGGAAAAGGUAGAGUGGGAAGAGAGACUUCUAAAAUUGACAACCUUUUUUUUUUUUUGUUCUGCCCUUGUUCCUUCCCUGCAUCUAUCAGUGUUCAAUGCUGCUUUUGUUUUAUCACUAUUCAGAAAGUGUAGCAAAUCCCUUUGCAAAAAGUCUUGAAGCACAGAUGAGCUUCAGUUCUGCUCUUGUUAUAGUCAAUAACAAAUCCAUUCACAUCAGUGACUAAGGAUCUUGGCUUUGCUUGGAAAACAUCACAUCAGCAGCGAGAAGGUCAUUUUAACAUGUUAGCCUGGGCUCUUUGCUGCUUAAUUCAUUUUAGGUCUGGUAUAAUUUUGUUUUUCUAGCACUGGUGUGAAACUUGGAAUAAUCCUUUUCAAUCUCCUGUGCAGUUAACCCAGAAGGCUGUUGAACAGAUAGCACAGCCAAGCUGGGCAGCUGCAGUCUCCUUAAGAUGCCAUUUAAGGAAAAG